rnacentral:rRNA from 1 species
GAUGAACGCUGGCGGCGUGCUUAACACAUGCAAGUCGAACGAAGCACCUUGAUUUGAUUCUUCGGAUGAAGAUCUUGGUGACUGAGUGGCGGACGGGUGAGUAACGCGUGGGUAACCUGCCUCAUACAGGGGGAUAACAGUUAGAAAUGACUGCUAAUACCGCAUAAGACCACAGUACCGCAUGGUACAGGGGUAAAAACUCCGGUGGUAUGAGAUGGACCCGCGUCUGAUUAGGUAGUUGGUGGGGUAACGGCCUACCAAGCCGACGAUCAGUAGCCGACCUGAGAGGGUGACCGGCCACAUUGGGACUGAGACACGGCCCAAACUCCUACGGGAGGCAGCAGUGGGGAAUAUUGCACAAUGGGGGAAACCCUGAUGCAGCGACGCCGCGUGAGCGAUGAAGUAUUUCGGUAUGUAAAGCUCUAUCAGCAGGGAAGAAAAUGACGGUACCUGACUAAGAAGCACCGGCUAAAUACGUGCCAGCAGCCGCCGCAG